CCUACGGGAGGCUGCAGUGGGGAAUAUUGGACAAUGGGGGGAACCCUGAUCCAGCCAUGCCGCGUGUGUGAAGAAGGCCCUCGGGUUGUAAAGCACUUUCAGUGAGGAAGAACGCCUGGUGGUUAAUACCCAUCAGGAAAGACAUCACUCACAGAAGAAGCACCGGCUAACUCCGUGCCAGCAGCCGCGGUAAUACGGAGGGUGCGAGCGUUAAUCGGAAUUACUGGGCGUAAAGCGCGCGUAGGUGGCUUGAUAAGCCGGUUGUGAAAGCCCCGGGCUCAACCUGGGAACGGCAUCCGGAACUGUCAAGCUAGAGUGCAGGAGAGGAAGGUAGAAUUCCCGGUGUAGCGGUGAAAUGCGUAGAGAUCGGGAGGAAUACCAGUGGCGAAGGCGGCCUUCUGGACUGACACUGACACUGAGGUGCGAAAGCGUGGGUAGCAAACAGGAUUAGAUGUCCUGGUAGUC
rnacentral:rRNA from 1 species